rnacentral:rRNA from 1 species
CUACGUAAAGAAAAGGGGGGGUAUGAAAUAUCCAUAGUUGAUGCAUCAGAUGGACGCCAAGUGAUUGAUAUUAUACCUCCCGGACCAGAACUUCUUGUUUCAGAGGGGGAAUCCAUCAAGCUUGAUCAACCAUUAACAAGCAAUCCUAAUGUGGGAGGUUUUGGUCAGGGGGACGCAGAAAUCAUGCUGAUCUACGAGGUUCAGUAA